rnacentral:piRNA from 2 species
UAGAAUGAGACCACGGCAUAUUUAC